ensembl:lncRNA
UAGAAAUGUUCUUUUAAUAAAUGUACUAAAUAAGAUGCAUAAUUUAGCUCCUUCUCUGUAGCCUGCCGGCCAGCUGCCAGCUCUGAACUCCUUCUCGGCCUCUCUCUUUUCCUCCUCCCUUGAUCUCUCACCAUCCCUCCCUUGGGUUUGACUCAGCACGGAAAUUACCUGCUGGCCUGGUAAAAACAAUCUCAUUAAAAAGCCAUCACAGUUGUGCCUGAUGGCUUCAUUUGUCCCCCAGUGGCUCAAUUUAUACCUUCCUUUGGAACAAGCAGAGAGUGAGUACUCUCCAGGAUGGCUUUUUCCAGCUGUACUAUAUGCAUCCCAACAGACCACAGGCCUCAAGUAAAAGUCAACAAGCUGAGAAUCCGAAGACCUUGUUUUAAGAUAGACCGUUGGAAAACUGUUUGCUAUCUGGACUCACAAAGAUAAGAGUCAACACACAGUCAGCAAUAGAGUGUGGCCUCUGGGAGAUCACAUGGCUCCACAUUCAGAAUCCCCAGAUGCUGUUAUCAAGAUCAAGCACGCCGUACCUGAAUGAGACAUUUGUUCCUGAGAACAGUCCUGAAAUUUUCUUGAAGACCUAAGGAGAGCAUUUCCCUUGAGGACAUUUUCACUGGGAGGACUUUACAGUUGCCUAUGUAGGCUGUCAAAAAAAAUCACCUGAAGAUGGGUUUAAUUUACCUUAUUACUGAAAGGAAAAUGUGCCGGGACAAAAUUACUGCAGAAUAAGUAGGCUUUUAGGUACCUUUGUGUAUAUAAUAUUGAAACACUGUAGCAUGUUUUUUCUGAAGGGAUUGGUAAGAAGAUGUGGAG